AAUCAACGCUGGCGGCGUGCCUAACACAUGCAAGUCGAACGCGAGAGGGGCUUCGGCCCUGAUUGAGUGGCAAACGGGUGAGUAACGCGUGGGUGACCUACCUUCGAGUGGGGGAUAACGUUCCGAAAGGGACGCUAAUACCGCAUAACAUCCUGUCUUUGGACAGAUGGAGAUCAAAGCCGGGGAUCGUAAGACCUGGCGCUUGAGGAGGGGCCCGCGUCCGAUUAGCUAGUUGGUGGGGAAUGGCUCACCAAGGCAACGAUCGGUAGCCGGCCUGAGAGGGCGACCGGCCACACUGGGACUGAGACACGGCCCAGACUCCUACGGGAGGCAGCAGUGGGGAAUCUUGCGCAAUGGGCGAAAGCCUGACGCAGCGACGCCGCGUGAGGGAUGACGGCCU
rnacentral:rRNA from 1 species